AGCCUUACAAGAACCAAACAGAAUUAACAUUCUGUUUGCUCAAAGAAACAGAGGCAGCGAAAUUCACGCAGGCAACGAAAAUUCUAGGGUUCUUUACAAAUCACUAAUUCUUGAACUCAGAAUCGAUUAUUUGACUGGUGUCAAUUGGACUGGGGCCUACAUAUUGGCUCAAGAAGUUUUGAGGAACCGGUUUUGCAGGCGAGCAGGCUACGGGUUAGGACUUCCCUCACU